UUACCUACGGGACGCAGCAGUGGGGAAUAUUGGGCAAUGGGCGCAAGCCUGACCCAGCAACGCCGCGUGAAGGAAGAAGGCUCUCGGGUUGUAAACUUCUUUUAUCAGGGACGAAGCAAGUGACGGUACCUGAUGAAUAAGCCACGGCUAACUACGUGCCAGCAGCCGCGGUAAUACGUAGGUGGCAAGCGUUGUCCGGAUUUACUGGGUGUAAAGGGCGUGUAGCCGGGCCGGCAAGUCAGAUGUGAAAUCCCAAGGCUCAACCUUGGAACUGCAUUUGAAACUGUUGGUCUUGAGUAUCGGAG
rnacentral:rRNA from 1 species